GUUCAGAGUAUAAGCCAAUGGUAAAUUGGAAGAUCGGGACAGCCGUGGUUACCCUUGUUCUCGAUUGUGAGAGGCAGGGCGCCGGCAUCGUGUGUGGUGAGAACCAAAGUUGGUCUGGUCCCAACAAACAGUGGCAAUUGAGUUGAUAGCACACCUGAAAUGGAAACAUGCGGGUCUCUGACAGUGGUAACAGGGUAAGCUUGUGGGGAGCAAGCCCGAGGCUGGACUUGAGCAUGGGCGAUACUGAUGGUCACACAAACGAGUUGUCUAAAUACGAUCCACCACAACUCUUUACGAGGUCACCCAUACGUCAUGAACGCUAUUCCCGUAACGUGCGCGUAUUGUUUUUCUACGUUUAAGGUACGUGUGUGAGUUUUCUCUCGCACGCGCGCUGUAGAGAGGCCGGCCGUUACAUGUUCAUGGUUUCCCAAUCGUGUGUGUUGUACGAUCCUCAGUGAAGGUUGAAUUCUGACCAUCCUAUCCUUGUGAAUGGUUGUUUCAAAGAGACGACUCUAGUAACGCUUUCCCGGAGCGCCACACGUUCCUGUAUGGAUGGGGCUUGGCUAUUACAACGUGAACUUUUCCUUCGCUGCCAGUCUGUCGAAGAUGUCACGGGCCUUGAUUCCCUGUACAUGUGUCCCCCUGCGUGGUGUGAAAGGUUGGCCGUGCGGUCAAGGAGGGAUGAAUUGGUGACUUAUUCCGGAGCCAUUGGUCACGUCUCGAAACACGGGCCAAGGAGCAUAGCAUGUGCGCGAGUCUAAGGGUCUAACAAAACCUGGAGGCAAAGUGAAAGCGAAUGGUGUGUUUGUUGAUAGUGUCGUAAGGCAUUGUUGGCAGGCAGUCUGGUGUUGUGCGUAAUUCCUACGUCUAUAUGGCGCGGACGAAUGCGCCUCCCGGCUUAUACCGAGCUGAUCCCGUUGCCAUACAGACUAUUGUCUAUGCGCGGGCGCAAGCUCCAGGCUCUCAGAUACGAAAGGUUUCUCGCGGUGUAUGUCCCUCGUGGGUGUGCAUUGUGUUUCUCUUUUCAUGGGAGCACUGUGUAGCGUGCAUGCUAUAACCCGAAAGAUAGUGAACUAUGCCUGGCGAGGGUGAAGCCCCAGGAAACUGGGGUGGAGGCCCGUAGCCGUUGUGACGUGCAAAUCCAUGGUGUCAGUGGCA
rnacentral:rRNA from 1 species